UUACGGCCAUAUAACGUUGAAACACUAGUUCUCAUACGAUUACUGACGUUAAGCAACGUCGAGCCUGGUCGGGACGUAGAUGGGUAACCGUAUGGGAAUACCAGGUGCUC